UUGUCGAACAGCUGUCUUACCUCAUCCCUGAGAUGGCAGCAUUUUGGGUGUGGGUAAAUGAUUCUUCAAGGGAUUCUUCAUACUGCAGGUGCCAUGGCCAGAGGAAAAUGUAGAUCAUGCGUCCAUUUAUAAUCUGGAACUCGCUGCUCCCAACCUUCUCUUUAAAUUUCACCUUAAACUUCUUGUCUUCUGUCAAUGAUGCUUGACUUCUUGGUGAAGCAUAUGUGAUGCUGUGGGUGAAAAUUAAUGGGGCCAGGAUUUUUACCAGGACAAAAGGGGCUAUCGCUGCUGUAACAAGACCGAGUGAUAUAAGCAGUCCUACAAGACUGAAGAAAGGAAUAUAUCACCAUAUGUAGAAAGGGAAAAAUCUCUUAGACUGGAAAGCUCCAAGAGGUAAUACGUAUAAUGCCCCAAGAGCUCAUGCAAAUCCAUAG